GGCAAAGUAGCGGUACACCUGCCACGUCUUCCCGAAGUCCAUCGAACGCUCGAUCACCAUUGCGGCCGGCCGGAACGUCUGAAGGUGUCCCACGAUGCAGAAGGUUUCGCCUCCACGCAGGCCGCACGUGGACGAGGCGUUGAGCUUGUGGGCGCGUCCGAUCAGCAGAUCCCCCGUGGCCGGGUAGCAGCUGCCUUCCGUGCACACGUCCGCCAACUCGGGGAACUGCGUCCAGGCGGGAGACCACAGCACCGCUGAGCAGAAAGAGAGGACCACAUCAUCAUCACACACACGUCCAGCUCACUCGGUAUUAAACCUAAGCUCUCGGCUACUGUCAAGACAGGCAAAAAGUUUGUGCGUGUGUGAGAACAAGAAAUUCUGAGGUGUGGGAGUUUUCCUUGGAGUAGUCCGCAUCCCACUACCAAACAGCUCCUCCCAAAUGUCAGUGGUGCGCCUCCUGUUGGUCAAAAUGUGUUAAAAUUGGAAAAACUGUUACAGAUACUGUAUAUACA